ACGGAAGGCAGCAGUGGGGAAUAUUGGACAAUGGGGGAAACCCUGAUCCAGCGACGCCGCGUGAGUGAAGAAGUAUUUCGGUAUGUAAAGCUCUAUCAGCAGGGAAGAUAAUGACGGUACCUGACUAAGAAGCCCCGGCUAACUACGUGCCAGCAGCCGCGGUAACACGUAGGGGGCAAGCGUUAUCCGGAUUUACUGGGUGUAAAGGGAGCGUAGACGGCAUGGCAAGUCUGAUGUGAAAACCCGGGGCUCAACCCCGGGACUGCAUUGGAAACUGUCAGGCUUGAGUGCAGGAGAGGUAAGUGGAAUUCCUAGUGUAGCGGUGAAAUGCGUAGAUAUUAGGAGGAAAACCAGUGGCGAAGGCGGCUUACUGGACUGUAACUGACGUUGAGGCUCGAAAGCGUGGGGAGCAAACAGGAUUAGAUACCCUGGUA
rnacentral:rRNA from 1 species